GCCCCUUCUUCUUCCUUUCUUCAUUCUUUCUUUGUGCUCAUCCCCUUUUUUCUCUUCCUCUCUCUUCCCACGAACCCUAAAUCCUAAAACCGGGCAUAGAGGUGUCGGAUCGAGGCUUAUAACGGUUUCCUAAGGUACUACUCCUUCCUCUCUUCCCUUUCAUCCAUUGAGAUCUUGUUUUAGUGGUGGUUUUUUUAUGGAAUAUGUCAUUAAUGGUUUGCUUCAUGUCAUUUGUGAAAUGCCUUUUAUCCAAUGAGUAUUUGACUCAAAUGCGUGUUUACUAUGGUAUAGUAUGUACGAUUCAUGUCCUCGUUUAGUGUUGUAUGUUGUGGAUUAUGGUUUAGGGUUUGCUACUCUUUAGGGUUUUGCUACUCUUUAGUGCAUUGGGCCACUUUGUUAACUUUUUAGUAAGUACGAUUCAUGUCCUCUCUUAGUGUUGUUUGUCUUGGUGCUAUUAGAUGUGGCAUUAGUUAUAGUAACACUUGUUUAUGUAGAUGAUGAACCGGUAUCGAGUAGAGUAUUGGAAAAAACGCGGUCGACCGAGGGAGCUAUAUGCGGACGCCUCUUGUGUGGAUGCCCCGGUACCUCCCGACCUCUCGGUUCCAAAUUGUGAUUGUCAGAAGCCGGCAGAAGUGAUGCAAUCUAGGCAUCCUGACACCGCUGCACAGUGUUUCUACACAUGUGGCCAAUUCAAUGUAAGUUUAUGAAAUUGUGUUUGAAUUUUUAAAAUGUAGCUUAUGGUUGCACCAACGCUUUGCAUGAUUUAUUUGUUUGUUUUUCU
rnacentral:lncRNA from 1 species